GGAAUAAAAGUCGUAACAAGGUUUCCGUAGGUGAACCUGCGGAAGGAUCAUUAUUGGAUUUUGAAACUUCAGGCUGCUGCUGGCUCUCCUCGGAGGGCAUGUGCACGCUUGUUGUCCAUUAUUUCUCCCACUGUGCACAAAUUGUAGACCUUUCAGUAGGCCUAUGUUGUUUUUCACAGUCUCUGAAUGUAAUAGAAUGGUUUUGAAUCUUGGGAAAUACAAUACAACUUUCAGCAACGGAUCUCUUGGCUCUC
rnacentral:misc_RNA from 1 species